AUUGAACGCUGGCGGCAGGCUUAACACAUGCAAGUCGAGCGGGGUGAUGGUGCUUGCACUAUCACUUAGCGGCGGACGGGUGAGUAAUGCUUAGGAAUCUGCCUAUUAGUAGGGGACAACAUCUCGAAAGGGAUGCUAAUACCGCAUACGUCCUACGGGAGAAAGCAGGGGAUCACUUGUGACCUUGCGCUAAUAGAUGAGCCUGAGUCGGAUUAGCUAGUUGGUGGGGUAAAGGCCUACCAAGGCGACGAUCUGUAGCGGGUCUGAGAGGAUGAUCCGCCACACUGGGACUGAGACACGGCCCAGACUCCUACGGGAGGCAGCAGUGGGGAAUAUUGGACAAUGGGGGGAACCCUGAUCCAGCCAUGCCGCGUGUGUGAAGAAGGCCUUAUGGUUGUAAAGCACUUUAAGCGAGGAGGAGGCUCUUUUGGUUAAUACCCAAGAUGAGUGGACGUUACUCGCAGAAUAAGCACCGGCUAACUCUGUGCCAGCAGCCGCGGUAA
rnacentral:rRNA from 1 species